GUCGAACGCCCCGCAAGGGGAGUGGCGGACGGGUGAGUAACGCGUGGGAAUUUUCCUCAAGGUACGGAACAACUCAGGGAAACUUGGGCUAAUACCGUAUGAUGCAGCGAUGCCAAAGAUUUAUCGCCUUGGGAUAAGCCCGCGUCAGAUUAGGUAGUUGGUGGGGUAACGGCCUACCAAGCCUGCGAUCUGUAGCUGGUCUGAGAGGACGAUCAGCCACAUUGGGACUGAGACACGGCCCAAACUCCUACGGGAGGCAGCAGUGGGGAAUCUUGCGCAAUGGGCGAAAGCCUGACGCAGCCAUGCCGCGUGAAUGAUGAAGGUCUUAGGAUUGUAAAGUUCUUUAGCCUGUGACGAUGAUGACGGUAACAGGAGAAUAAGCCCCGGCUAACUUCGUGCCAGCAGCCGUGGUAAUACGAAGGGGGCUAGCGUUGUUCGGAAUUACUGGGCGUAAAGCGCGCGUAGGCGGUUUUACAAGCCAGAGGUGAAAUGCCUGAGCUUAACUUGGGAAUUGCCUUUGGAACUGUAUGACUUCGAGGACGAGAGAGGUGAGUGGAAUUCCCAGUGUAGAGGUGAAAUUUGUAGAUAUUGGGAAGAACACCGGUGGCGAAGGCGGCUCACUGGCUCGUUUCUGACGCUGCAGCGCGAAAGCGUGGGGAUCAAACAGGAUUAGAUACCCUGGUAGUCCACGCUGUAAACG
rnacentral:rRNA from 1 species